CCGCCGUCAGUCGUGACCGAUACGCGCAGGAGAGUCGGCAGUGUGUCUCCGUCUCCGUCUCCGUCUGCAGUGGUUGUAGGAAGGUCUCCGAAGGCGUCUUUGUGUUGUGAAGUUUGUGAUCACAAAACGAACCGACGUCACGGACUCACGUGCUGUUGCUAUCAAGAGACAUGGUUCUUCCCCAAGGCCACAGGAAGCAUACGAUCACGGUCAAUGUAUGAAGCACCUAUUGUGCCGUCAGCAGUCACCUGAGAGACACAGAAGUAGAAACACCGAGUCCUUAAGCGAACAAAGAAAUAUCCUCUAAAAUCUUGUGGUUACUCUCUCUAAAUAACACUUCCGGGCUGUUAAUGUUACUGACCGCUGACAAGUUGAUGCCUACGCUAUUUACGCCUACCUUUCCCAAGACGAAUGCGGGAGCUUUUUAGAUUAUAGUGAUUAACUGCCGGAUCUGAUAUGGAGCCUGCUAUCAAAAUUUGGCCUGUUCUCUUUCUCCUAAUUGGCGAUGUGGCAGCCAUGAUGAUCUAUCAGGGUGACGGUUGCCUGGAGAAGUGUCCCGUCACACACCACUACAGCCCCGUGUGUGGUACGGAUUACGUCACAUACAUCAACCCCAGUACGCUCCUCUGCCACAAGAAGUGCACUGACUCCAGUCUGGGCGUGGCGCACUUCACCAGCUGCGUCGACUGGUUAACCGGCAACUACCGCUUAUGAGCACCUGUCUGCAGGGUCAACGCUACCUCCUCACCCGCAAAGCAGCCUAGAAAGAAAACGGCCUUUCAACAAGGAGCUACACCCCUCUGCAAUUUUCAGCUCAGGAAGAAGUUGCAUGGCGGCUCUGUUGCUUCCUGGGCUUCACUGACGCCGUUCGUUGCAAGGUCGAUCGGUUCCUCCUGUUGUCGCAGGAUUUAGUACAAAGUGCCGUCGCGGAAUGAGGCGAUUUAGACCUUAUGUGUCAAACUCGGUCCGUCACAAGGAUUUUACUUCAGUUGAGUUAUGGCACUAAGGAUCAAGUCAGCCUCAUUUUAGCGAAAUCGGCAUAGGCAAAUAAUACACGCAAGCACGCACGCGCACACACACACGCACAUACACGUGUUUAUACACACACACACACACACAUGUAUAUAACAUCAAACGUGGUUUGUAUUGUAAAGGUUAAAUUAUAACAUAGUCCCCUCCUACAUUUUUUUCCAUGUAGGAGAAACCUACAAAAGGAACGUAGGAACUGUUUAUCAUAACAACUGUGUUCCUUCUACAUUGCUUGUGUUUUUUGGGCAAAGAGUUUUUGGGAUGAUAUUUCCUGUUUUUAAGUCCGCACAGGUCAUUCUUUCCUCUUUUACACCAGUUUGGCAUCUUUGCUUUAUUCAUAUAAAAUGAAAUUCAACAUUUAUUUUCCCAAAAGGUGUGACUAUUUGACAACUAAAAUUGGUGUUGAAAUUUAGGCUGUUUUAAUUCGUAAUGGUGAAACGGGGGAAAGAAGUAAUACUUUACCGAUAACAGCAUCCCAUGAGAUAAAGUAUAUACGAAAAAAUAUCUUGUCUCCUUUAUCCCUUUUCAGAUAAUUUGACCUGUGAUAGAUACAGAUAUAAAACUAUCUGGCCGCUGAUAAUUUACCUUUAUGUCACUGAUUUUUUUUCUCUCCAAAUUCCGUAUUCCGGAGAACACCACCAGUUAAUAGAUCGCUGAACUUUAAGAUUCUCGGUACUAGAGUUAGAAUUCGGGGAAUGACUUUUUUUUUUUUUUGCCGUGAAAGGCUCCCGCCGCAGAAAAGCAAACUGAAAGAUAACACUGUGUGAAUUUCUUUAAUGGUGAACAAAGAAACUAAGAGAUGGAUCGCGGAAUGGUGUUGCUCAACUUAAAAAACAGUGUUAUAUAAUUCCGUGGUCUGUUUUUUUAGAAUGCGGUAGGGAAUCUUUUACUGAUGAGCAUUUCAGUUCAAAAUCUGUUUCACCAAAUGUACUUCAAGGAUGGCACAAAGAUAUCCUUAAAAUGUCCUCAGGUAAAAGGACAUCAACAGUGUCUAAACAGUGUAUCAUGCAAGCAGUUCACAUUUACGUUUCUUUCGUUCUUAGGAACCAUAACUGAAAAACGAGAGUAGUAAGAACUGUUAUAAAACUGAUGUGUAUAGUUGUAAAAAGUAAGCCUGUACAUCCUUUCUCUGCUCGUUUCGUUUUUUAUGAGACAUUUAAUGUGAGCUUGGUCUUUAAACACACACACACACACACACACAC
rnacentral:misc_RNA from 1 species